GGAAGCCGUAGAGAAAUCGAGUCCGAAUAGGGCGUUCAGUCGCUGGGUGUAGACCCGAAACCAAGUGAUCUAACCAUGGCCAGGAUGAAGGUGCCGUAACAGGUACUGGAGGUCCGAACCCACUAGUGUUGCAAAACUAGGGGAUGAGCUGUGGAUAGGGGUGAAAGGCCAAUCAAACUUGGAAAUAGCUGGUUCUCCGCGAAAUCUAUUUAGGUAGAGCGUC
rnacentral:rRNA from 1 species